rnacentral:rRNA from 1 species
GAUCAUGGCUCAGGAUGAACGCUAGCGACAGGCUUAACACAUGCAAGUCGAGGGGCAGCGGGGAGUAGCAAUACUUCGCCGGCGACCGGUGCACGGGUGAGUAACACGUGUGCAACCAACCCCGUACCGGGAGAUAACCCGCGGAAACGUGGACUAACAUCCCAUAAUACUGGAGGAUCGCAUGAUCUUUCAUUUAAAAUUCCGGUGGUACGGGACGGGCACGCGCGACAUUAGGUAGUUGGCGGGGUAACGGCCC